rfam:Fomitopsis pinicola FP-58527 SS1 unplaced genomic scaffold FOMPIscaffold_8, whole genome shotgun sequence.
GGCCGCCUGGCGAAAUGGCAUCGCGUCUGACUACGAUAUGGUAAUCAGGAGAUUGUAGGUUCGACCCCUACGGCGGUCA